rnacentral:lncRNA from 1 species
AUGGUCGGCUGGCACCUGCUUUGGAGGAGAUGCGUCUCCAGUGACUGGAAAAUACACGUCUUCCAAGUGAGGAGGGUAAACACAGGUCCCGGGGUGGGGUGGGGGGGAAGCGCUGAGCCUCACCUGCACCCCAGCGCCAGCGAGGAGGGGAAGGUUGGGGGUGAGUGGGGGGGGUUGUGGGAGGAGCCAGGGUUGUGGGAGGAGCCAGUCCAGGGAAAGCACAAGAUACGGGUUUCACCAAACUGUCGGAAACCCAAGGUCUGGAUUCAGAGCCUCAGAUCUUGCACUGGCAGCAAAUGGGGACACAGCAGCUGGCCUGGGAGCAGCAGGGUUGGCAGCAGCUGGACUGGCCACAGCUGGGUUUGCAGCAGCUGGACUGGAGGCAGCAGGGUUGGCAGCAGCUGGGCUGGCAGCAGCUGGACUGGCACAGCUGGGUUGGCAGCAGCUGGACUGGGAGCAGCCACAGGAGCCACAGCCCCCUUUGCCACAGCUGGAGCAGGCACAGGCUGGCACACAGCAGCACACAGGCUUGCAGCAGCUGGACUGGGAGCAGCCACAGGAGCCACAGCCCCCUUGGAGCCCCCACAGGAGCCACAGCCCCCUUUGGCACAGCUGGAGCAGGCACAGGCUGGCACACAGCAGCACACGGGCCUGCAGCAGCUGGACUGGGAGCAGCCACAGGAGCCACAGCCCCCUUGGAGCCCCCACAGGAGCCACAGCCCCCUUAGAGCCCCCACAGGAGCCACAGCCCCCACAGGAGCCCCCGCAGGAGCCAUAGCCCCCUUUGCCACAGCUGGAGCAGGCACAGGCUGGCACACAGCAGCACACAGGCUUGCAGCAGCUGGACUGGGAGCAGCCACAGGAGCCACAGCCCCCCUUGGAGCCCCCACAGGAGCCACAGCCCCCUUUGCCACAGCUGGAGCAGGCACAGGCUGGCACACAGCAGCACACAGGCACACAGCCGCUGGAGCCACAGCCCCCACAGCUGGAGCCACAGCCUCCGGAACAGCCACAGCAGCCCAUGGUUCUGGUUAA